UUCCCCUCAUCCUCCUCCUCUUCUUCUUCUUCUUCUUCUUUCUCUCCUUCCCUCUUUCUUCUCCCAUAAGGGGAGAUCGGAAUCGAGAGGGCUGAACAACAGCAGGCGACGCCCCCUCGGCCGGCUAGAGGCACCCGCGGUUGCGGCCAUGGCCGCAUUCACGGUCCGCAGCUGCGGCCUUGGCCGAACUCGCGGCCCGUGGUCGGUGUUCCCCGGCCUCCGGCGCCUGCAGCCCGCAGCCGGCGUUCCCCGGCCUCCGGCACCACAGUCGUAGGCCGCGCCUGCGGCUGGCACCCACGAAGGGAGAAGGGGAACGACUCCAACCCGACUGUAGCCCCCGCCGACGUUUGGCGGUGGUCGCGCCGAAGUCAGACGGUACCUGUGGCCGAGAGCCGGCAAUGCUGACGAUCACAGAUACGCCUUUUUCUCCUCCUCUUCUUUUCUUUUAUUUCAUUAUCAUAGGGUAGAAAUGACAUAGGGUUAAGGUUUACCUUGCUACGAAGAGAAGCUGCGGCUACUCUCUCCGGCGGCAUUGAUGCGAGCUCCAAACCCUAGCAGCGGAGGAGGGAAAGGGGUUAGAGGCAGAGUAGGGUGGAGAAGGAGAAGUGUUUGGUGGAUCUCAGAUGCAGGUCAAUGAGGGAUUUUACAGAGAAAUUUCAAACGGCUCUGCUCGUUCACCGCCGCGAUUUCAGCGGCAGUUGCGCGGGUUCAUCAGCCAUUCAAAUGGCCGCCGCGGAUCCCGCCCCCGUUAUGCUUGAGAAGAUGCAGCCGAGGAUUCCGGCCCCUCCUUCGGCUUGGGCCUCACAGGGACCUGCUUCUUCUUCGGCCCCUCCCCAUCCGUUAUGGAGACAUCGUGGCCGGCGGCGGCCGCAGGAAGGGGAAGACCGACCCUUCUUCCUCUUCUUCGGCACCUCUCCACUGUGGAGGUGUGGGCAUGGGGUGCGGCGGCGGAGAAGAGGGAGGGGUGGCGGCAGCGAGGAAGAAGGAAGGGGGGAGAGGAACAGGCGGUGUGAUGAGCAUUUUGGGAGGAAUUAUUUUUUUAAGUGGGGGUAUUUUGGUCAAAAAUAGAGCAUUCCGGCAAAACUCAAAACAACGUUUUCCGAAAGCUCUAAAAUAGACUUUCAGCCAAAAAACUAUUUUCAGCUUUUCGAAAAAGCUGAAACAGCUUUCCAAAAAUUUUAUCAAAUACAAUUUUUUUACUUAAAAGUACUUUGGAAGGGUCAGAAAGUGCUUUUUGUCCCUCUAAAAGCUCUCCCAUACGAGGCCUUAGCUGCUUUGGAGAAGAGAGAAAAGUUGAAAUAGAAGAGACAAAAUGGAGGGGAGGAAACUAAUAGACUAGUCCCCCAUUAAGUAGAUUUCUAAACGAGCAAAAAAAUAAAAUGAAGGGGUGGGGAAGAAAUUUUUUUCCAAAUAGAAUGCUAUGGUGCUUUCGCAAAGCUCGUUAUCCGUUCAGAUUAAAACAGAUUGCAUGACAUGGGUGUGGUC